UUCAGAACCUUCCAAUAAAAGAACCAUUUUUCAUCAGUGUGAAGAUCAUUUUAACAAUAUGAAGAACACUUUUCUGUUAUGAAAACCCUUUGGUGUUUCCAUGGAUGUAAAGAAGCUUUAUUUAUUAGAGUAGUUGUGUUCAGAAAGAGUUCAGUGGAAGGUGUUCUGGAGAACUCACAGCGCUUCUUCUGUGGCAUCGCUGUUAUUUGUAAGAGUUGUUUCCUGAUCUGAGGGCCGCGGGUCCCUUAAUCAGGUCAAGUGCGUGCUUCAUUACACUCGCUGGUAGCUGCCAUGUAAAGCACCAAAGCUCAUCUCAGAAGACCUGACCCUGGAGAGCUCACCGUAACGACUUCUGCACUGACGGCUGGACUAACCAUCGGCCGGGAUGUGAAUUUUAGUCCGCCAGUUAUUUGGUUCGGCGCUGGUGUUCCACGGGAUGCUCAGAUGUGCAGGUUUGGUGUGUGUUUUACAGCUCAGUCCGGCAGAUCUCAGACACAGACACACUUACAGAUGAGCGUGAGGUCUGUCAGGACGUGUUAGAGGGGUUCUGAAGACUCAAAGAGAGCAGAGCAGUCACUGAGCUGGAUUGAGAGAGACAGAACGAGAACGAGAAGCUGAUGGCAUCUUCAGAUCUGCUCCACACUGAGCGUCUGCAUGUCUUCACUGAUGGAUCACAAUCGGACAUGCUGAAGCCGGGCGAGCCGAGCGGGUCUGCUUUCCUCAAAGUGGACCCGACCUACAUCCAGCACUGGCAGCAGCUCUUCCCGCAGAACAGCGCGCUGAAAGCCGCUUCCCUUCCGCCUCCGGUGCCGCAGAGACCCAGCCUGAUCUCCUCCAGCUCCUCCAGCUCCAGCGCGUCUCCCGCGGGUCACAUCGCGCUGCUCGGACACCCGCUGAGCUCCGACUCCGCCGGAGGAUCGUCUCAAGCCAAAGAACUUUGUUUGUCGUCCAACUUUAAGAAUGAUAAAGGCUCGCGACUGAAGCUGAGCUCCGAGGAGCUGGACUAUUAUCUGUACGGACAGCAGCGGAUGGAGAUCAUCCCGAUCAACAACCACAACGGAGAGCUCAACAACCGUGUGUAGAUUCAUGCUCUUCCAUAACACACACACACACACACACACAAUCAUAAAAAUAAACAAGAGAAAAGAAGCGUCACAUGGGAACUUUCUUAAACAUCGCGUUCUUGUUUUGAAGGAGCGCAGCGCAUCUGAAGAAGCUGUCAUUAUCAUUAACACAUACCCUUCAGUAAAAUAUAGAAGGAUAUACAUGUUUGUAUUUUUUUACUUUAAAGAAAGGUAUAAGCAGCUCAAGAGAGAAACAUGGUUUUUGAAAACCUAAUUAUUUGAGGAAGAAGUAUUUGACAAAACGAGCGCUUUAUUGAGCUGCAAACCUAAAACUGUUUCUGGCUAUUCGUUUUUGAGAAAAAGUCAAUUUACGUGUUUUUGCGAUUUAGAAAAUAUAUUUAAAUGAAUAAUUUAGUUUUAUGAUAAAGCAGCACUGGUUUAGUCUACAUUAUUUUAGUACAUGUUUAUAGAACAGUUUCUCAGUAUUUUAUGUAAUGGGCCGAAGAUUGUGUUGUGCAUCUGAUUUUACUGAAUUCUAAAGAGUGAUCGAAUUAAUUUUAUUCUCAGGCAGGUGUGUGUUGAAGAGUUUUUAUCCAGAUCAGUGAGAAGAGCCGUAUCGAAUAUCCUGAAAUCGUUUACUGAAAUCAAGGAAACUGUCUCAAAUUAAAAUGAAUAUAAAUAAAACAAAAAGGACAUUCACAAUGAAGAAAAUGCAUUUUAAUCUCAUCUUUAUUUUAAAACGUUUAAUGAAUAAACCUUUUUAGCAGAUUUGUAGCCUAGGCCUGUAG
ensembl:lncRNA